rnacentral:rRNA from 1 species
GUCGAACGCCGGACCCACCUCGGUGGGCGAGGCAGUGGCGAACGGCUGAGUAACACGUGGGCACCUGCCCCCCUCCCCGGGACAGCCUCGGGAAACCGUGGGUAAUACCGGAUAUCUCGCAUGGGGAAAGCUCCGCGGGGGGGGAUGGGCCCGCGGCCUGUUAGCUAGUUGGCGGGGCAACGGCCCACCAAGGCGACUAUGGGUAGCUGGGUUGAGAGACCGACCAGCCAGAUUGGGACUGAGACACGGCCCAGACUCCUACGGGAGGCAGCAGUGGGGAAUCUUGCGCAAUGGGCGGAAGCCUGACGCAGCGACGCCGCGUGCGGGAGGAAGGCCCUCGGGUCGUAAACCGCUUUCAGCAGGGACGAGCCGCAAGGUGACGGUACCUGCAGAAGAAGCCCCGGCUAACUACGUGCCAGCAGCCGCGGUAAUACGUAGGGGGCGAGCGUUAUCCGGAUUCAUUGGGCGUAAAGCGCUCGUAGGCGGCCUGCUAGGUCGGGAGUCAAAUGCGGGGGCCCAACCCCCGGCCGCUCCCGAUACCGGCGGGCUUGAGUUUGGUAGGGGAAGGCGGAAUUCCCGGUGUAGCGGUGGAAUGCGCAGAUAUCGGGAAGAACACCGGUGGCGAAGGCGGCCUUCUGGGCCACAACUGACGCUGAGGAGCGAGAGCUGGGGGAGCGAACAGGAUUAGAUACCCUGGUAGUCCCAGCCGUAAACGAUGGACACUAGGUGUGGGGGGACGCCCCUCCGUGCCGCAGCCAACGCAUUAAGUGUCCCGC